rnacentral:rRNA from 2 species
GUAGGUGGGGUAACGGCUCACCUAGGCGACGAUCCCUAGCUGGUCUGAGAGGAUGACCAGCCACACUGGAACUGAGACACGGUCCAGACUCCUACGGGAGGCAGCAGUGGGGAAUAUUGCACAAUGGGCGCAAGCCUGAUGCAGCCAUGCCGCGUGUAUGAAGAAGGCCUUCGGGUUGUAAAGUACUUUCAGCGGGGAGGAAGGGAGUAAAGUUAAUACCUUUGCUCAUUGACGUUACCCGCAGAAGAAGCACCGGCUAACUCCGUGCCAGCAGCCGCGGUAAUACGGAGGGUGCAAGCGUUAAUCGGAAUUACUGGGCGUAAAGCGCACGCAGGCGGUUUGUUAAGUCAGAUGUGAAAUCCCCGGGCUCAACCUGGGAACUGCAUCUGAUACUGGCAAGCUUGAGUC